AUUGAACGCUGGCGGCAGGCUUAACACAUGCAAGUCGAGCGGGGUGAUGGUGCUUGCACUAUCACUUAGCGGCGGACGGGUGAGUAAUGCUUAGGAAUCUGCCUAUUAGUGGGGGACAACAUCUCGAAAGGGAUGCUAAUACCGCAUACGUCCUACGGGAGAAAGCAGGGGAUCACUUGUGACCUUGCGCUAAUAGAUGAGCCUAAGUCGGAUUAGCUAGUUGGUGGGGUAAAGGCCUACCAAGGCGACGAUCUGUAGCGGGUCGGAGAGGAUGAUCCGCCACACUGGGACUGAGACACGACCGAGACUCGUACGGGAGGCAGCAGUGGGUAAUGUUGGACAAUGGGGGGAACCCUUAUCCAGCCAUGCCGCGUGUGUGAAGAAGGCCUUAUGGUUGUAAAGCACUUUAAGCGAGGAGGAGGCUCUUUUGGUUAAUACCCAAGAUGAGUGGACGUUACUCGCAGAAUAAGCACCGGCUAACUCUGUGCCAGCCGCCGCCGUAA
rnacentral:rRNA from 1 species